rnacentral:rRNA from 1 species
UACGAAGGGGGCUAGCGUUGCUCGGAAUCACUGGGCGUAAAGCGCACGUAGGCGGGUUGCCAAGUCGGGGGUGAAAUCCUGGAGCUCAACUCCAGAACUGCCUUCGAUACUGGCGAUCUUGGAGUCCGGGAGAGGUGAGUGGAACUGCGAGUGUAGAGGUGAAAUUCGUAGAUAUUCGCAAGAACACCAGUGGCGAAGGCGGCUCACUGGCUCGCAACUGACGCUCAGGCACGACAGCGUGGGGAGCAAACAGG